CCUACGGGAGACAGCAGUGAGGAAUAUUGGUCAAUGGACGAGAGUCUGAACCAGCCAAGUAGCGUGAAGGAUGACUGCCCUAUGGGUUGUAAACUUCUUUUAUAUGGGAAUAAAACGUUCCACGUGUGGGAUUUUGUAUGUACCAUAUGAAUAAGGAUCGGCUAACUCCGUGCCAGCAGCCGCGGUAAUACGGAGGAUCCGAGCGUUAUCCGGAUUUAUUGGGUUUAAAGGGAGCGUAGGUGGAUUGUUAAGUCAGUUGUGAAAGUUUGCGGCUCAACCGUAAAAUUGCAGUUGAAACUGGCAGUCUUGAGUACAGUAGAGGUGGGCGGAAUUCGUGGUGUAGCGGUGAAAUGCUUAGAUAUCACGAAGAACUCCGAUUGUGAAGGCAGUUCACUGGACUGCAACUGACACUGAGGCUCGAAAGUGUGGGUAUCAAACAGGAUUAGAUACCCGAGUAGUC
rnacentral:rRNA from 1 species